UGAGAGCUGGAGAAAACCGAGGUUCUCUUGGAAGAAGACGGAGGAGGAUGCGAGAAGUACAGAGCUUCCAAGGCGUGCACAGGCCCAACCUCUUCGGCUGUUUGGAUUUGCAGGACUGCGGGCGGGGAUAGCGUGGGCAAGGGUGAAGGAGUCGCCGACUGAUUUAUGACCAGAGGGAGUAGACAAAGUAGAAGUCCCCGUAGCAGCUUGAGCUGGACGCCUGGGCGGCGAUCUCCUGCGUAUACCCGGAAUAUCAAAGCGGCUCCACUUUAGCAGCAAAACUAGGACUCCUUUCUAGGAGUGAAGUUCUAGGACCGCAGCGGAGCGCCCCCACGACCUGAGACGCGUUCCGCAAAGGCGAGGUAGCCGGUCUAGUGCAUGCCAAGCGGAGAAGUCACCCCCCAAAUCAUUGAAGGAAAGAGGUCUUCCCCGCCUAGGCCGGGAAGGAAGCCCUGGGCCCUUCAGCGCUGCAAGACUUUCUACCACAACUCCCCUGGGGCGCCGAGCGGGAGGAAGGAGGCACCCUACUGACCCAAACCUACAGGCCCCAGCCUGACUUGCAGAACCAGGGAAGGGGCUCCUUAGGGCCCUCCAUUCGCAGACUCCUGGGGCAGAGGACACUUGUCUUGGAGCCACAGUUUCCUCAUCUGCGAAAUUUCCUCAUCUGCACCUAUUGAUAGGUGCGGUGCAGCAGAGUUGUAAACAGUGAAUAAGGCCACCUCGUUCUAAAAAUAGUGUGCACACUUUCCAGUCUGAGAAGGCAGGAGGCCAGGGAAGCUCUAGCACUUCUGAAAGCUUAGAGUUCGCAGAAUCAGAAAGAGCGAAAGUGAGGAUGGAAAGGACUGAGCAGUUGGGGACAAAAAUUCAGUGGGAAAAUUGCAAAGGAGCUUGUAAACAUAUUUUCCUUUUGUUCUCACCUUCAAAGAUAACUAGGAGAAACUUGAGUUCAAGCUAGGGGUAAAGAGGAAUUUUAGCACGAAGGACGAAGGGUCCAGUGACCUGCAAAAUAGGUACAGAAUCAAAUGUAUCAAGUGUGUGAAGGCUGAUGAUGUGGUUGAUCCCACUCAGGCUGUUAAGGGGUGAGGAUGCCUUUUGAAAAUACAAAGUGGACAGCAGGUGCCUGGGCCACCUGUCCUGGGAGCCAGGAAGAAAAGAGGUUGUUGUGUGCACAGAUCCCUGGGGAAGGUUUAUGUCCAUCUCAGUCCUCCCUGAGAAAGGUAAUAAUUCCGCAGGAAUGAGGAUCCUUCGUUUCACCUUGUUUUCUAGUUUAUUGUGACGAAUGGCAGAUUCUUGUCUCCCGUAACCUUCUGUCUCCCCAGCUCCUCCUCUCAAGCAGGAUGACGUUCAGAGUAAAUGUCCUCAGAGAAUCAAGCCCUUGCACCUGUUCUCCCCCUCUUCCCUCUUCCUCCACCCUCAUGAUAGAAAAUCAAGUGUAAUGUAUAUCAGUUUCUCUUUAAACAGCACUGCUGAGCACCUCCUUGGAUUUCCAAUCAUCCUUCACUCUCAAAAUUCAGGGAUCAACAAUCCUACUCUUUCCCAAACCUCAGCCACCCAAAUAAAGGUACAGAAAUUGCACACAGAAUACUACAGGGGAAAAUUCCUGUGAGUGUCCAGUUACAUCUCCCAAGUCAUCUUGCUACUCAUAUCCAAAAACUUCCCGUAAUCUCCUUCCCCAUACCUACCUUGUAUUUGUCACUUGGUACUAUAGUAAGGGGUCAUCAAGUCACAAUGACUAUGAACAGAUUCAAUAUCUACCCUAAAGAAAUCUAGCAAAAAAUAAAUAGACCAACAGUGCAUCCUUUAGGGUGUGGGUCUUGGAUAUUAGCAGCUAAAGGAAUUAAUUCUUGAAACUCUUCAGUGAAACCUCCUUCCCCAAUAGAGGAAGACUCAGUAUGUCUGCAAUAAUCUUUGCUUAUGCUACACAUGGGAUAAAGUGAGGAUAGACUGAGGUAAUAGCCUCCUGUUAAAGAUGGGAAAAUAAGCAGGGCGUUGUAGUAGUUACUUAGGGAGGCUGAGGCAGGAAAAUCAGCCUGGACAACUAACAACAACUCUGUCUCAGAAUAAAAUGAAAAGUGCUAGAAAUGUAGCUCGAUGGUAGAAUGUUUGCCUAGCAUGCACUAGGAGGCCACAGAGAGGUUGCUUGUAGCCACUGGAGUAAAUGCAAAUGCUGUUUGGAGCAGGGCUUUAGGAUGAAAGAGGAGGGUCCCUAGCUCCCAUUGUUUUGGGAGAUGAGAGUUGAAAGAGAGAUUCUUUGGAGCAGGGGAAAAUACACAGUUGAAAACAAAAGGCAGUCUUGCCUUGGAGACAAGCAGACCUAAAUGUGCAGAAGGAUAGUGAUGGCGUAUUGUGUUUUUGUGAAAAUGAAAUGCAUUAGCAGUUGCAGGUUCCUGGAGUAUGGCAGGCUCUCAUAUAUUUAGACAAAAAGAGACACACCAUGAAAUCAUGCUGAUAAGUGAGGCGACUAACUGAUCUCUUUGGGCUUUUAUAGUCCCAAGUUGUUUUUAAGAGUUACUGAAUUUGAAGAGACAGUAUUAGACACUUCUACCAAUCAGUUUGGAGUCAGAUUCCAAGAAUUUCUAAGGGCGAUUUGGUCCCUGGGAUGAAAUAAUUUAAACUCCAUUUAGCAUAUCGCUUUAUGGGGGUUUUCAAGGCUUUGCGCUGGUAAUUUUACCAAAUGGUGACUGCAGCUUCUGUGAACUCACUUCCUCUGUAAUUUAUUCUCUUCAGUUGUUCACAAAGUCUCCCCUCCUACCACCAUCACCAUUUCCCCUGUUUACCUUUCUUCAUUUACAGAAGGGAGACCCUGGUCUUUCCGACCUCUGCUGUUCCACUCUCUAAGGCUUCCCAUUGAUUUGGCAGUGAUUAGCAGGGCUCCAAGUGCAAUCAUCUCUAGAAUAAAACAUAAAUACCAUCCUAUCCUGGUCUGAAGGAGGUUGGAGAUCUUAUGAUAGAAAACAGUGUUAAAACCCAUAGAAUAUUCUAGACUCCAGGGUCAGGAGCCUGGCUACAGCACUCCUUUCUGAAUGAUUCUUCACCUCCCAAAGCCUUUGGUGAGCACCUCCUCUGGGCCUCAGAUUCUGCUUUUGAGAAAUGACCAGUUGGUUUGGACAAGCAUUUAAAGCCUCCAACUUUCCUAUGGUUUGAAAUUACUAAAGGGUCUUAAAUUACUGGGGUUUCUACUUCCAGGUCCUUGGCCAGAUGGUCCAAGAGCUCAGGUCAGAUCUCUGAGUAGUGGUGGACACAAAAUAUUUGAGUAGCCCAUGAAAAAAUACACUACAGACUGUAAAGGUCCACAAGGGCUAGGCACCUUUUCACGUCUUGCUCUUUAGUGCCCAGAGAGGUGCUGAUAUAAGGGAGAUGCUUAACAAAAUGCUUAUUGAUUAAGUGAAAAAGUGAAUUAUCUCUGGAUUAUACUGUUAAGGAUGAUUUUUUUGUUUCCUUAUUUAUACUUGUCAGAUUUUCUCAAUUGUCAGCAGUGAAAGCCUAGUCUAAAAUAAUACUUUUCCCCAGAUAAAAAAGGAUAUAUACCAUAUAUAGCAACUUUUAAAGUAGGAAGAGUAAUCUACAGUGGUAGAGGUUUCUGGAGUGCUAGAAAGGUUCUAAGUUUUAAUCAGGAUGGAGGAUACAUCAAGAGUCUUUACAUGUAAGCUUUGUGCAUAUUGCUGCAUGUAAGCUAUAACUUAGUAAAAAUCAUUUUAAAACAAGUCCAAAGUAUAAAAUGUAAACAGCAAAAGUCACCUUCUCACCCCCAACUGUUUACAGUUAAUAUGUGGCCCUCCAGAAUCUUUCUAUUCACCACAUAUAGUUGAUCGCCAUUAAAAUCUAUACACUAGUAUAUAUCCCAGGAGCCAGCAAACUUUUUUUCUUUAAAAGGGAUAGAUAGUAAAUAUUUUAGGUUUCGUAGGCGAGAAAAUCUCUGUGGCAACUAUUCAUUUUGCUAUUACAGGCAAUACAAAAAUAUGUGUGGCUGUGUUCCAAUAAAACUU